rnacentral:rRNA from 1 species
UACGAAGGGGGCUAGCGUUGCUCGGAAUCACUGGGCGUAAAGCGCACGUAGGCGGCUUGUUAAGUCAGGGGUGAAAUCCUGGAGCUCAACUCCAGAACUGCCUUUGAUACUGAGGAUCUUGAGUUCGGGAGAGGUGAGUGGAACUGCGAGUGUAGAGGUGAAAUUCGUAGAUAUUCGCAAGAACACCAGUGGCGAAGGCGGCUCACUGGCCCGAUACUGACGCUGAGGCACGAA